rnacentral:tRNA from 1 species
GGGGAGGUAGCUCAGUGAUAGAGUGCCUGCCUAGCGUGUGCAGGACCCUGGAUUCGAUCCCCAGCACCACCC